rnacentral:lncRNA from 1 species
AUCGUUUUCAAAAGAGACUCGAAUGGCUUUCUCGUUCGCGUGAAUUAAAAUAAUAAGACUUGAAAAUAAAAAUUAAUAAAUUGGAUUUGAGAACAAAAAUACUAACAUGCAAAAUAAAGUUGAUUCAAUUGACAAAAGAAAACAAUGGAUGAAUGNAUGUUGUUGGGGGUUUACAAUUUCAUCUAAUCCGCUCUCUCUUACCUACUUCUCUUGAAUAUUAGUUUGAUUAAUUAAUUGUUAUGCGACUUUCUUAGCCUCCCAUUAACCCGAUCCCUCGGCGACAAGAGCCUAAUAUUAACUAUUGGCUUGUUAUCCCUAGCCUCCCCUAGCAAUUAAUACCGCAUUAUAAAAUGAAGUUAGUGCAAUUGAUCAUCCUACCCUUAUCCCUAGGUGGUAUUGCAAAAUCAAGAAAUUACUCACCAGUUCAUGUCAUUACUGUACGUCCCCAUAUCAAUAAAGACAAACAUCAGUUACCGAAUGAGUUAAACGAUAAAGGCCUUAAGCACAGAUGAUAACCCAACAAUUAUCAAUCAAAACAUAUGGAGACCAUAUAAAUAAUCAAGAAUUUCAAUAAAAGAGAGUAUUAAAAGAUUACAUUGUUUCCCCC